UUAAUCUCUAGGAACAUACAGGACGGGUUUUCCGUUUACAAUUUGAUGAAUUUCAAAUAGUUUCUUCGUCCCACGAUGAUACCAUACUUAUUUGGGAUUUUCUUAAUUGCAAUGGAUCUGAAAAUAAUGCUGUUAGUAGUUCUACUGUACCGAAUCCACCAUCGAAUACUAAUCAAGCUGAUACCAGAUCUCCAUCCCCAUUUGAGUGACGUAUGAAAACUGAUCUAAUCAUUUAUUGUGAUACGAAUAUUUGUGGUAAAUAAGUGAAUACUUAAUGUAUUCACUUGGGAUCUGUGAAUAAAUAACAUUAGUGCCCAACAAAAAUGGAAUAAAAAAAUAUUAAGAUAAUGAAUUUAAAUGGAUAUUUAUUGAUCAACAAUGAAUUGAAUCAUGUAAAAUGCACAUGGAAUGUAAAGAUGAACUGAAUGUGAGAAAAAAUUUUUUUGUCUAUCGCGAAAUUAGAGAAAUUUGUCAUUUCUUAAUUAAAAAACCAACUUUUUCUAUUAUU